GAUGAACGCUAGCGGCAGGCCUAACACAUGCAAGUCGAGGGAGAAGCCUUUCGGGGCAGAAACCGGCGCACGGGUGCGUAACGCGUAUGCAACCUACCUUUCACAGGGGGAUAGCCCGAAGAAAUUUGGAUUAAUACCCCAUAAUAUUGUUGGAUGGCAUCAUUUGACAAUUAAAACUGAGGUGGUGGAAGAUGGGCAUGCGUCCUAUUAGCUAGUUGGAGUGGUAACGGCACCCCAAGGCUACGAUAGGUAGGGGUCCUGAGAGGGAGAUCCCCCACACUGGUACUGAGACAGGGACCAGACUCCUACGGGAGGCAGCAGUGAGGAAUAUUGGUCAAUGGUCGGAAGACUGAACCAGCCAUGCCGCGUGCAGGAAGAAUGCCUUAUGGGUUGUAAACUGCUUUUAUAUGGGAAGAAUAAGGUGUACGUGUACAUUG
rnacentral:rRNA from 1 species